UACAGAGGGUGCGAGCGUUGUCCGGAACCACUGGGCGUAAAGGGCGCGUAGGCGGUCUCUUAAGCGUGUGGUGAAAGCCCGGGGCUCAACUCCGGGUCGGCCGUGCGAACUGGGGGACUGGAGCUUGUCAGAGGCAGGCGGAAUUCCGGGUGUAGCGGUGGAAUGCGUAGAGAUCCGGAAGAACACCGGUGGCGAAGGCGGCCUGCUGGGACAGUGCUGACGCUGAGGCGCGACAGCGUGGGGAGCAAACAGG
rnacentral:rRNA from 1 species